UACGUAGGGGGCAAGCGUUGUCCGGAUUUAUUGGGCGUAAAGAGCGUGUAGGCGGCUAGAUAGGUCCGUUGUGAAAACUCGAGGCUCAACCUCGAGACGUCGAUGGAAACCAUCUGGCUAGAGUCCGGAAGAGGAGAGUGGAAUUCCUGGUGUAGCGGUGAAAUGCGCAGAUAUCAGGAAGAACACCAGUAGCGAAGGCGGCACUCUGGGCCGGUACUGACGCUGAGGAGCGAAAGCGUGGGGAGCGAACAGG
rnacentral:rRNA from 1 species